rnacentral:lncRNA from 1 species
AAUCAACAAAAGCAAAGGAGCUAUUACCAUACUCAAUUGAACUGUUUCAAAACGUAUCAUGGAAGCCUUAACCAAACGUAAAGCGCGUAAUUCGAUGCAUUUACGGUGAUUAAAGAUGAAGUUACAAGCAUUGGAUGGGAUGUUGCAGCCCAAGAAUGAAUGUCGAAGCUUGUUCGGGUGAUACAAAGGCUUACGAGUGAAAGGAGUGUGAAAAAGCAAAGUUCAGGGACUAAUUCGGUACUUUAUGAAAGUUGUGUGGAGCUUAGAUAUGCAAAAAUCAAGGAGUAAUAAAGUUCGAGGGUCAUUUGGCAAUUAAUGGAAAGUUAUAAUAUAGUGGACAUGUGAGAAGAAUGAAGAAACAAACUAGAAGGGGCCAAUAUGUAAGUUGUUGAAAGAUGUUACGUAGAAAGGCAAGGAACAGAGAUCACAAACUGUAAGCUAUGGUUUCUGUUCGUAGCUUACGAGUUGUUUGUGCCAUUUGGAAUUUUGGGACAGAAAUUUCACACUGUAAGCUACGAGCUACAACUCGUAGCUUACGGUUUGGUAACAAUGUUUGGGCAGAAUUUUUAAAACGUAGCCUACGAGUUGAGUUGUAGCCUACGACUUGGAAAGAAAAAAAAAGACGCAUGUGAGGAUUUGGGGCCCACGAGUUUGAAUGGACGACUAGGUUUGAAAAGAAAAAAAAAGUCAACAGAGGGCAGCCGUCAAUUUCUUUUGUUUGUUGGGUUGGAAGCCGGGAUUGAGAAGGACAUCAUCAUCACAUCGUACAACAUCUUUUGACAUCAGAAUCAUUCAUCAUCAGAAAAAGGAAGGAACAUUUAUUUCUUUUGGGAAGAGAGCCGCACACAUCAUCUCGAUCAUCAUCAAUUGUUCU